ACCGCUUCCGUCGCCGGGACAACGGAGUUUCCGAGUUUCCGCACGCGCUGCAGUUUGACCGCGGUACUCCCAGGACCCCAGGGUGCAUUUGAGGAUUUUGCGCCAUGGAGGACCGGACUCGGCUGGACUCGGCUGGUAACAUCAGGAGUUAUGGACCAAUUCACAUCUGGACUAGCCUUUCAGGUAUUCAAAAUCCAUUUAGCUGCAGCAACCAGCUUGCUUUUGAUUAAGAAGACCUCAUAGAUAUCUACUGAUCUCUCCAGUUUGCAUCCUAUUUCCAAGAACAAUUUUCACUAUAGGUUCACAAUCUGUGGUUCAGGUGACCUAUUUCUGCUUAACAGACUAUACUUCACAUUGUGCUAGAUUAUGGAGCAAUCCUUUGGAAAGGAAAGAUGAUUGAUUGUAGAGCUUCAAGGAACUGAUAGCACUGUAUGUGAUGGCUUUUCAACUUCUCUAUUCCUCUUACCCAGGCUGACCCUCAACAUUCUAAAAAAUGCAGGGUGUCCAAAUGACUUCUGGAGAAAUGUCUCUGCCAACGACUUUACAAAUAUUAAAUGAAACUGUGCAUAAUUACCUUUCUCUAUCUUGUCAUGUAUGUCAAUUCGUAUUUCCAUGAGUUAAUUUUGCCUUUACUGGUUUCCAAUCUUUAUGAAACAUUCUGGUUUGAAGGGACCCCAGUCAAAGUUAUGCAUAGGAUACUGUAGUGUUCCAUUUAUGAGAAGGAGUAUUAUUCAGUGGGAUAAAAUUGUGUUAUAUCCUCUUAUGAAUAUAAGGAAAUGAUAUGAGAAAAUAGAAAACACUUGGAGUCAGACAUUAGGAAAUGAAGGAAUAUUAUAUAUCCUCUAUGACAAACUCAUUUGUCUAUCCAACAACUUUCAGAUGUUCUUUCUUAGGUUUCUUCUGCCCUCCAAAUAUGGUAUUUUAUAUCACAUUUAUCUCCCUAUAAGAAAAUAAGUUUACCUGAUUAAAUAUAGUUUUUUCAUGGUUCAUUGGUGCUACCAUUUUAGGGAUGGGAGUACUAGAAGAAGCUUCUGAGGGUGGGCAGGUGAGGCUUUGGUUUUAGAGAGGUUUAGCUUGUAUAUCCUUGAGAAAUCAAUCCAUGUCAAGUAGACAAUUGGAUGCGUGGGCCUGGCACUCAGAGAAGAGUAGACAUGAGUGAAUCACAUGCAGACACCGUAUGUAGCAAUACUGAGUAUGGACGAGUUUGUCUGGAGACCACUGUGCAAGCAGGGGAGCAGGACCUGGG